AGUGGCUUGGUGGCGCGCAGUUCCCCCUGACUGUGCGCGCCCGCGUGUGGGCUCCUUUGCAGAGGACUCGGUAGCUGCAGCUCCCGGAGCACAGCGGACAGAGCUGCGGGCUGCGUGCGCCCCUGCUGCCACCGGGCCUGCCGCGGUGGCUCCCGCGCCCCGCGGCGACUUCCGCUCCCGCGCUUCUCUUUGUUCAAGUCCCCGAGCGGCGGCGGGGUCGGAGCCCGCGCCUUGGGCGACUGAGGCGGCCGCAGUCCGCGCCCCGGCGCCCUGGCGAUGCCGGACCAGAUCUCUGUGUCGGAAUUCGUGGCCGAGACCCUUGAGGACUACAAGGCGCCCACUGCCUCUAGCUUCACGCGCACGGCCCAGUGCCGGAACACCGCGGCGGCCAUCGAGGAGGCUACACUUGGGAAAACCAUCAUAUUGAAAGACAUUGUCAAAGUUCAAGAAGAAAUGAAAGGCCAUCUACAAGAUGGUGUCCUCCAUGAUGAAGAUGCCCGAGGACAAGUCCAUGCCUGAGAAUCGAACAGACAAGAUCUUCAGGCAGAUGGACACAAACAAUGAAGGCAAAAUGUCCCUGGAAGAAUUCAACAAAGGUGCCAAGAGCGACCCAUCCAUUGUCCGGUUGCUGCAGUGUGAUCCCAGCAGUGCUAGCCAGUUCUGAGGGGAAUGGGCUUUUACACAGUUGUGAGAAACACAGGCUUGACCUGCCAUCUUCAGCUUUGCUUGCAAAAGUGGUUUUCUCCGUGAUUUCUCCUGCUCUCUAGGGACCUGGGUCCAGACAGCACAUCACACUCACCUGGUCUGGCUGGAUGCAGCUCCCUCCUCUGUCUGAUCCAGAUAGAUGUCCCUCCCCAUCCAGUCCAGGCUGGUUCCUUCCAAGGUUUCAAGUGUUCUCAGCUGUAGGGCUCCUUCCCUGCCCACAGAGGGCCUGGAGGCCCUUAAGGACACCAGACAGGACUUUUCAAUAUCUUACCGAGACCAGCUGAUUUAUUCUAUGAUCCCAGCUGACUUUGUGAGGAUGAAGAUGGAGAGUAGAUAGGCAAGCCCUUCCUGUGCAUGGCUCCACCUCCCUUGUUCAUUUGCUCUGACCAAAGCUGUUUGCAUGUAUAUACUGCGGUAUCCUUUCUUUUAAUAUAUAAGUUUUGUAUAAAGUGAGAAGGUUCAGCCCCUGUAUUGAAAGCCUCUGACUGCCUUUAAAGCAUGGUCCCCUGUGGCCUGUGAUUCUCCCCACCCCCAAGUCUGGCUGUGCUGUGGUAUUUAAGUAUUCAUUUGCCUAAUUACACAGGAGAUACAUGCAUGCCCAAGGCUGUGGACAUCUGCCCUCUGUCCUGCAAACACAGGUGUUCCUGUGUGCUCCAUCCUUCCUUUCUAUUGGUCUGGCAUAUUAAAAUGAUCUAAUAAACC